rnacentral:rRNA from 1 species
UACGUAGGGUCCGAGCGUUGUUCGGAAUUACUGGGCGUAAAGCGCACGUAGGCGGCUUUGUACGUUAGAGGUGAAAGCCCGGGGCUCAACCCCGGAAUUGCCUUUAAGACUGCAUCGCUUGAAUCCGGGAGAGGUGAGUGGAAUUCCGAGUGUAGAGGUGAAAUUCGUAGAUAUUCGGAAGAACACCAGUGGCGAAGGCGGCUCACUGGACCGGUAUUGACGCUGAGGUGCGAAAGCGUGGGGAGCAAACAGG